rnacentral:rRNA from 1 species
CGCCCGUCGCUCCUACCGAUUGGGUGUGCUGGUGAAGUGUUCGGGUUGGCGACCGGGGGCGGUCUCCGCUCUCGGCCGCCGAGAAGUUCAUUAAACCCUCCCACCUAGAGGAAGGAGAAGUCGUAACAAGGUUUCC